AGAUUGAACGCUGGCGGCAUGCCUAACACAUGCAAGUCGAACGGGAGUAGCAAUACUCUAGUGGCGGACGGGUGAGGAAUACGUAGGAAUUUGCCCUUAAGUGGGGGAUAACCCGGGAAACCCGGAUUAAGUACCGCACUGACCUCGAAAGAGCAAAGUGGGGAUCGCAAGACCUCACGCUUUUGGAGAAGCCUACGAUCGGAUUAGCUAGUUGGUGAGGUAAUGGCUCACCAAGGCGACGAUCCCGGUAACUGGGUCCUAGAGACGGAUGAUCAGUCACACCGGAACUGAGACACGGUCCGACUCCUACGGGAGGCAGCGAGUCGGGGAAUAGUUGGGACAAGUGGGCGCGAAGCCUGAUCCGAGUCAAUGCCGCGUGUGUGAAGAGGCCGUUCGGUUGUAAAGCG
rnacentral:rRNA from 1 species